UUCCGGUUGAUCCCGCCGGAGGUUACUGCUAUUGGUGUUCGACUAAGCCAUGCAAGUCAUAUGUUCCUCGUGAACAUGGCAUACUGCUCAGUAACACGUGGAUAACCUGCCCUUGGGUCUGGGAUAACCCCGGGAAACUGGGGAUAAUACCGGAUAACGCAUAUGUGCUGGAAUGCUUUAUGCGUAAAAUGGAUUCGUCCGCCCAAGGAUGGGUCUGCGGCCUAUCAGGUAGUAGUGGGUGUAAUGUACCUACUAGCCAACAACGGGUACGGGUUGUGAGAGCAAGAGCCCGGAGAUGGAUUCUGAGACGUGAAUCCAGGCCCUACGGGGCGCAGCAGGCGCGAAAACUUUACAAUGCGGGAAACCGUGAUAAGGGAACACCGAGUGCCAGCAUCAUAUGCUGGCUGUCCAGAUGUGUAAACUACAUCUGUUAGCAAGGGCCGGGCAAGACCGGUGCCAGCCGCCGCGGUAACACCGGCGGCCCGAGUGGUGACCGUUAUUAUUGGGUCUAAAGGGUCCGUAGCCGGUUUGGUCAGUCCUCCGGGAAAUCUGAUAGCUUAACUGUUAGGCUUUCGGGGGAUACUGCCAGGCUUGGAACCGGGAGAGGUAAGAGGUACUACAGGGGUAGGAGUGAAAUCUUGUAAUCCCUGUGAGACCACCUGUGGCGAAGGCGUCUUACCAGAACGGGUUCGACGGUGAGGGACGAAAGCUGGGGGCACGAACCGGAUUAGAUACCCGGGUAGUCCCAGCCGUAAACUAUGCGCGUUAGGUGUAUCGGUGACCACGAGUUACCGAGGUGCCGAAGGGAAACCGUGAAACGUGCCGCCUGGGAAGUACGGUCGCAAGGCUGAAACUUAAAGGAAUUGGCGGGGGAGCACCACAACAGGUGGAGCCUGCGGUUUAAUUGGACUCAACGCCGGGAAGCUCACCGGAUAAGACAGCAGAAUGAUUGCCGGGCUGAAGACUCUGCAUGACUAGCUGAGAGGAGGUGCAUGGCC
rnacentral:rRNA from 1 species